AGGAUUAGGUUAAAAAUCAAAUAAUUUGGCGGUAUCUUAUCCUAAUAGAGGAACUUGACCAUUAAUCGAUAAUCCACGUUUAAUCUUACUUAUACUAAUGUUUGUAUACCGUUGUUGUUAGAUUACCUUUUAUAGUUAGUCAGUUUUCUUAAUAGAAUGGUUAUUUUUUAAGGGUAGAUUCUUUUACUUCAAAUCAAGGUGCAGUUAAUGUAUAAGUUGAGUUGAGUUACUUUGUGUUAGAAUUGGAGUGUAAAGUGAAAUUUUAUUUGAAAGAGGAUUUAUUAGUAAGUUAAUAUUAAUUAGAUUAACUGAAAAGGGGUCUGAGAUAUGUACAAAUCGCCCGUCACUCUGGUUUUAAUAUCAGAUAAGUCGUAACAAAGUAGGUGUAAGGGAACUUGCACCUAGAUGA
rnacentral:rRNA from 1 species